rnacentral:rRNA from 1 species
UAAGCAAAUCUCAAAAAUAACGUCCCAGUUCGGAUUGUAGUCUGCAACCCGACUACAUGAAGCUGGAAUCGCUAGUAAUCGCGAAUCAGCAUGUCGCGGUGAAUACGUUCCCGGGUCUUGUACACACCGCCCGUCACACCAUGGGAGUUGGCAACGCCCGAAGCCAGUGACCCAACCGAGAGGAGGGAGCUGUCGAAGGCGGGGCCGGUAACUGGGGUGAAGUCGUAACAAGGUAUC